ACUCCUACGGGAGGCAGCAGUGGGGAAUAUUGCACAAUGGGCGCAAGCCUGAUGCAGCAACGCCGCGUGAGCGAUGAAGGCCUUCGGGUCGUAAAGCUCUGUCCUCAAGGAAGAAUAAAUGACGGUACUUGAGGAGGAAGCCCCGGCUAACUACGUGCCAGCAGCCGCGGUAAUACGUAGGGGCAAGCGUUAUCCGGAAUCACUGGGCGUAAAGGGUGCGUAGGCGGUUUUUCAAGUCAGAAGUGAAAGGCUAUGGCUCAACCAUAGUAAGCUUUUGAAACUGUUAAAACUUGAGUGCAGGAGAGGAAAAGUGGAAUUCCUAGUGUAGAGGUGAAAUUCGUAGAUAUUAGGAGGAACACCAGUGGCGAAGGCGACUUUCUGGACUGUAACUGACGCUGAGGCACGAAAGCGUGGGAGCGAACAGGAUUAGAUACCCUGGUAGCACAGAG
rnacentral:rRNA from 1 species